CUUGUCUCUGCAGAAUGUUAAUCUCCUUGGCAGGCGGACGAAAGGAACGAAAAGGAGAGCUGAUACGUAUUAAGUGCCAACUGCAUACCUCAGUCUCAGGUGAUACAUUCACACAGGAAAUUUUCCCAUUCUUGUCCUCAUCUGCAGAGACACCCACUCCCCAUGCUAUAGAGACUAUACAACCAAGUGUUCACAAUAUAUUACAGAGAGACCCAUGAACUAGAAUUCAUUGUUGUGAUUGCUCUACCAACAUUUUGGAUGAAAUGCUAUGGGAACCCAGAAAACAAUUAAUGUUGCUUGGAAGGGUUCAGGAUGAAUUCACAGAGGUAAGUUCUGAGCUGGACUUUGAAGGAUAAACAGGAUUCUUUGCG
rnacentral:lncRNA from 1 species